AGCUGGAAUAGGAUGAAGAGCUGAAGGAAUUACUCUGCAGUCCCACAGAGCUAUGUCUGUUUUCCUGGCUGAGUUUCCCUUAAGCUGAGUUUCCUGUCUGUAAAAGGCUCUGGAUCUGACUUUCUCCAGGAUCUUUCUUCUACUCUCCAUCUUCCAAUGUCUUUAGGAAGAUCACUCCAGGAAAAGUUUGGAAGAUGGACCAGGCAGGAGCCAUUCAAAAAGUCAAGGACAGCAGCAACUCCAAAUGGUCCCCCACCUAACCCAUUCACAUCUUGCCCUUUAGAAACAUUAGACUGUCCCGGACUUUUCCCAUCUACACCCUGCUCUAUCUUCCUGCCUUUUUUUUUUGUACACUUCUCACUUAAC